rnacentral:rRNA from 1 species
ACGCACGCUGGCGGCGUGCUUCACCCCUGCCAGUCGCACGGAAAGGCCCUGCUUUUGUGGGGUGCUCGAGUGGCGAACGGGUGAGUAACACGUGAGUAACCUGCCCUUGACUUUGGGAUAACUUCAGGAAACUGGGGCUAAUACCGGAUAGGAGCUCCUGCUGCAUGGUGGGGGUUGGAAAGUUUCGGCGGUUGGGGAUGGACUCGCGGCUUAUCAGCUUGUUGGUGGGGUAGUGGCUUACCAAGGCUUUGACGGGUAGCCGGCCUGAGAGGGUGACCGGCCACAUUGGGACUGAGAUACGGCCCAGACUCCUACGGGAGGCAGCAGUGGGGAAUAUUGCACAAUGGGCGGAAGCCUGAUGCAGCAACGCCGCGUGCGGGAUGACGGCCUUCGGGCUGUAAACCGCUUUCGCCUGUGACGAAGCGUGAGUGACGGUAAUGGGUAAAGAAGCACCGGCUAACUACGUG